CACAAGAGAAAAAUAAUCAAGAUAGGAUCUUUCACCUAAGAGUUCUUUUGUGAUUAGAUAGAAAACAAGAUAAGAUCCUACAAUUAGGUUUAGAGAGUAUUUAUGUGACUUCUAAGACCUAAUGGGCUUAAUUAAUCACUUCAAAAGCCCAAAUAAAACAUAAGUUUUCGACAUAAGAUAAAACGCGGCGCGGGUGCACUAGGUCGCUCCCAUAGGUCGCUCCGCAUCAUGAAAGUCGUCGACAAGAAGUUGGGCUUGGAGCGGGUGUAUCACCUCGGUGCAAGACGUCGCGCCAACCUUCGAUUCUUCUGGAGCGGGUGUCGCACGUCGCUCCCGUACCCCGCUCUGGUGCUUUGCUCGCCUAAACAGCAUUUCCCACUCCCUUUUUGAUCCCAAAUGCUUCCAAGUACCUCUAAGAUCUCCAAUGGAAACUCCAAAACCUGAUAAAGACUUAUGCAAUGCAAAAAGAGACUAAAAUGCAUGAUUCCUAAUCUAGAUGAUCAAAACAUGCAAGAAAUAGAAGGUUAAAACAAUGUAAUUAUGCAAGAUAUCACUAAAAUCAUGGAGAUUGUGACAAAUAAGCCAAAUCACUUCAUAAAUAAUAGUAUAGAUUAAAAUGUUGUAAAUUGUAUUAUCUUUUUUUUUUGUAUGGACAUCUUUGUAAAUGGUAUGAGGUUGAUUGUUUGCAGAUUCUAAACUAGUUUUUGGUUUUUGAUUUUGUAAAAGCCAUUAUUUUACCAAUCAAGAUUUUAUAAAAAUAGAUUCCCUAAAAAAUAGGGAAACCAGAUUUUGGGUUAACUACCUAUUUUCAAGCAAAAACCAAAAACCAUGUUUUGUUGGUUUUCUAAACUAUGUACGUGGGUUUUGUAAACUUUUUUUUUGUUUUUUAUUAAAAUAUUUCCAUAUUUAUGUAUUAAUAUAAGCAAAUAUUAAUAAGAAAGGAUUAAAGUGAUAAAUAGUAAUUAUUCCAAAUUAUUAAAGUUAAAUAAAAUAUUUUACAUCUAGAAUCUAAUAUGAAAAAUAAAAUUCUUAUACAAAGUUUAAAUUAACAUAAUUAUUUAUUUUUAAUUUCAAAAUAAAAAAAUGUAAAUAUUUUUACUGAUAAUAUGUAGAUAUUUAUUUUUGAUUUAUUAAACUAAAAGAUUCUCUAUAUUUAUUAAACAUCACUUUAAGAUCGAACUAUUGAUAUUUAUUUAUAUAUUUGAAUUUCGUAAAUUUAUUUACUUCUACCACAAUUUUUAAAAUGUAAUUAAUUUUUAUUUAGUUUGUUUUUAAAAAUAAUGAUUAAUUGUGUAUUGUCAUAUAAUAUAUAUGAAUGUAGGUUCAUUCAUUUAUAUCAGUUCAAGACAAGCAAUAAAAUUAUUUUAUUAUUUUUUAAACAUUUUCUAAGAUAAAUAAAUUUAUCUUACUGUGGUAAAGUAUGUAAUAUUUCUUAUUUUUAUAGUAAGUCAAAUUUUAAUAUUAGUAUUUAGUAUAACUCAGCUUGAAACAAAAAUAAUAAAUCAAUAUAGUUAAACCAAAAAUUAAAACAAAUAUUUAUUAUUUUUAAUUUUAGAAAAACCAAAAAAAUUACAGAAAAAAUAACGAUAGAAAUCUAUGAAUAAAAAAUAUUUUAGCAUUUAAUCACAGUUUUAUUUUCUGUUUACAGUUUUUUUAAAUACUAUGAAUUAUAUUUUUAUUCUAUUAGUUUUAAAAUCAAAAUCAAAAACUAAAAACUAAAAUCUAAAACAACCUUUCAUGCUUUUCAAAAAACGAAAAUCUACUGCAAAAUCAAAAACCAAAAACCAAAAACUAAAAUCUAAAAACUAGAAACUAAAAUCCAAAUACCAGAAACUAAAAUCCAAAAACCAGGAAAACAAUCACCACCAUAAUCUACUUUUAGGGAAUUGCAGAUUUCCAUAUGAUUUUGAAUGAUAAAUAGUAAAAUAUCUUUGACAAAAAAAGGAAAAUACUUCGAAUAAUGAAAGUUAUAUGAAUAUUGGAAAAUCUUUAAAAAAGCUUGGGGAUUACGGAAAGGAC